GUUAAAAAGCUCGUAGUUGAAUUUCGGGGUCAGCAAGUUGGUCGUGCCACCGGUAUGUACUGGCUUUGCUGAUUCCUCCUUCUUGUAGAACCGUAAUGCCAUUCACUUGGUGUUGCGGGAAAACAGGACUGUUACUUUGAAAAAAUUAGAGUGUUUAAAGCAGGCUAACGCCUGAAUACAUUAGCAUGGAAUAAUGAAAUAGGACGAGCGAUCUUAUUUUGUUGGUUUCUAGGAUUGACGUAAUGAUUAAUAGGGAUAGUUGGGGGCAUUAGUAUUCAAUUGUCAGAGGUGAAAUUCUUGGAUUUAUUGAAGACUGACUACUGCGAAAGCAUUUGCCAAGGAUGUUUUCAUUAAUCAAGAACGAAAGUUAGGGGAUCGAAGACGAUCAGAUACCGUCGUAGUCUUAACCAUAAACUAUGCCGAC
rnacentral:rRNA from 1 species